UACGUAGGGGCUGAGCGUUGUCCGGAAUCAUUGGGCGUAAAGCGCGUGUAGGCGGUCCGGUAAGUCCGCUGUGAAAGUCAAAGGCUCAACCUUUGAAAGCCGAUGGAUACUGCGGAGCUAGAGUACGGAAGAGGCGAGUGGAAUUCCUGGUGUAGCGGUGGAAUGCGCAGAUAUCAGGAGGAACACCAAUAGCGAAGGCAGCUCGCUGGGACGUUACUGACACUGAGGCGCGAAAGCGUGGGGAGCGAACAGG
rnacentral:rRNA from 1 species